GAACUGGGGAGGGACACAUUCCUCAGCUCAGCUCUCCCUGCGCGCUGCUACCGGGAGGGUUGAGUCGAUUCUUUUUGAUAUCUUUCCCUCGUGUGCCUAUUUCUUAAAUAAAGGCUCUAUCAUUACCUUCAUUUGUUCUACACUGUGACACACAUAUUAUACAUGAAAUGUAUAAAAAGCAUGAGUAGUCAAAUUUGACUGAAAGGCCUUCUUGCAAAAACUUUUGAAAAGUGCAGGAAGGUAAGACACCAAAGAUUUAAAGUUCAUUUCCUAAUGUAUUUACUGCAUACUGUGAAAGAAGAUGUCUUUUCUGGAAAGAAAAAGAAAACUGUUCAGUUUUGAGCCUUUCUCUAUAAGAAAGACAUUAAAGCAUUUGAGUGUGUGCAAAGAAGAGCAAUGAAACUGGUGAAUGGUCAGAAGCACAAAUCUUAUGAGAUGUGACUGAGAGAAUGGAGUUUGUUUAGUCUGGAGGCAUGAGGGAGAUCUUAUCUCUGUAACUACCUGAAAGGAGUUUUUAGUGAGGAGGGGGUUGGCCUUUUCUCCCAUGUAACAGUGAUAGAACUAGAGGGAAUGGCUUCAAGUUACACCAAAGGAGCUUCAGGUUGGAUAUGAGGCAAAAUUUCUUCCCAGAAAUAGUGGUGAAGUAUUGGAACAGGCUACUAGAGAGUUGAGGGAGUCACUAUCCCUGGAGGCAUUCAAAAACAUAUAGAUGUGGCACAGAGGGAUGUGGGUUAGUGGAUGUGGUGGUGACGGGUGUUUUCCAACCUCAACGAUUCUAUGAUUCUAUCAUUAGAUCAUAUCUUACAGUAAGUAAAACCUAUGGAGAGAUGACAGCUAACAGCACUUAAAAAUGUUUGCCUGUAAUUUAUUGUAGCUUCUGUUCUGUACAUACCACAUCCAGUCCUACAAAGUCGCAUGUACACAGACACACACACACACACAAACACACAAACACAUUUUUGAAACAAUAUAGAAAUACUUGCAUAAUAUGUUAGCCUGAAGGGAGAAUUACUCUAGCAUUUAUUACUGGGGGUAUGUAAAAUCCAAUAUUAGAUAAUUUCACAUUAAUGGGUAUUUUUCUCUUAAGGAAGAAAUAAUUUUGUCUGGUACCUCCUGGAAUCCAAAUGAGUUGAUUUCAGCCUUGGGGGCAGACACAAGAGCUUCUCAGAAGCAUAUCUACUGACUGCCAUUUAAUUCCCACUUUAAUGAGGUCAAGACUUUUUGUCUUCUGGGAAACAAAACUCAUCAUCAGACAGGAAUGGUCACACCGACCACCUUCCAAAGAACCUGACCACAGUCACGAGAAUCAUGGGGGUUGGAAGGCACCUCUGAAGAUCACUUAGUCCAAUUCCCUGCUAAAUCAGGUUCCCUAGAGUUGGUUGCAGCAAAAAGCAUCCAGGUGGAUUAUGAAUAUCUCAAGUGGAGACUUCACAACCUCUCUAGGCAGCCUGUUCCAGUACUCUGUCUCCCCUGAAAAUAAAGAAGUUUUUCCUCAUGUUCAACUUCCACCUGCCUCUUGUUUGCACCUCCUGCCUCUUGUUUUGUCUCAUGGCACCACAGAAAAGAGUCUGAUCCCAUCCACUUGAUUCCUCCACUUUAGAUAUUUAUAAGCAUUGAUAAGAUACCCUCUCAGCCUUCUCUUCUCCAGGCUGAACAAUUAGGUCUCUCAGCCUUCCCUUGUAUGGGAAAUACUCCAGGCCCCUCAUCAAUUUUUUAGCCUUCUGCUGGGCUCUCUCCAGCAGUUCCCUGUCUUUCUUGAACUGAAGAGCCCAGAACUGGACCCAGUAUUCAAGAUGCAGCUUCAUCAGGGCAAAGAAGAGGGGGACAUUUGGAACCUUAUGAAGGAGGGCAUUUUUCUGCCAGUGAGUUUCUAACCUUCCUUCAGUUGAAAUAGUCUGGAUUAUUGCCACUGAUUCAUCUGGAAUAGUCAGUCAGCUCUGAGUCAGUUCAAUGCAAUGGCUGAGAUAAAAGAGUUAUGCAGUCUGUCAGAUGAAUUCUCUUUAAAAGAAGAUGAACAGUGGUACACAUUACAGUAAUAGCUAUUAUUAGAAGCCAGUGUUAAGGAGAUAAUGUAAUUAGUAGUGUUGGGAAAUGUGAAACUUUAAAUGCUGAAUAUGGAUGUUUCUUUUCAUAAAAUUCUUGAUGCUUACUGUUUCUGUCAGACAAGGUAAUGCGCCUGUAUAUUUCAUCUGACAACAGCAGCAACUCUGCAUAAGCAGCUCUAGAAAUUAACCAAACUGUAAAAAAGGGGCAGCCAAAUAUUGUUAACAGUGCUCAUAAAACAAAUCCAUUCUGUCAAAGAGAUGUAAGACUCACUGAGAAAGCAUUUUAAACUCAUGUUAGACAAAGCCAAAGUACAGAGAAACAGAAAAUACACUGAAAGAAUUCACACUCAGUUUGCAGAAAUGACUGAACUUCAGAUUUCACUAUGAAAAGACAGAAGUUUUUUAACACUGUAAAACUGUAUGGAAUUCAAAUAACACUGAUUUCCAUGAUAUUUAGUAUGAGAUUAUUAAUGUGUUAGUUUUUUGUUUUUUUCCUCAUUCAGUAUUUAUGCACUCUGCAGGCUGCUACAAACCUCCAGCUGUCUUCAGAGCGCUGGAAGACUUAGUGAGGCACUGUCAGGUUAAACAUAACAGAAAUAGAGCCUUGCAUCAGCAUAGAAAACAUUACUUUUUGACUUGGUGUAUAUGUAUAAAGCAACUGGACUACUAUUUUACAGCCAGCUCCACCGUGAAGGCCAAAAAUUAAGAGGGCACCAAUGGCUAUAAACUGUAUAAUACUAGAAUA
rnacentral:lncRNA from 1 species